rnacentral:rRNA from 1 species
AACGUAGGACACAAGCGUUAUCCGGAGUUACUGGGCGUAAAGGGCGUGUAGGCGGACCUAUAAGUCUAUUCUGAAAGCUCCUGGCUAAACUGGGAGAGGCGAAUGGAGACUGUAGAUCUAGAGUGAGGAAGAGGAAAGUGGAAUUCCGGCGUGUAGUGGUGAAAUGCGUAGAGAUGCGGAAGGAACACCAGUGGCGAAAGCGACUUUCUGGUCCUUAACUGACGCUGAGG